CAGUCGUGGCGGUCCGAGUAGCGGUGCGCGCCGCAGAAGAGCUCCCCGCAGCGGCACCGGAACCCCGUCAGCCCGACGCGCUUCCGGCAGCUCUGGCACCGGUUGACGGACGACGACGACGAAGUCGACGUCGUCCGGAUCGGCCUGGCGGACGCCGGCGCCGGCGGUUGCUCCGCAGGCCGGUCGGCGAACACCGCCGUCGCAGACGGCCUCGCGUGCUGCUGCUCGUCGAACUUGAACACCGCCGGGGACGGAGACAACGAGGAGGAAGGCGACGGCGGCGAGACGGAGGCUGAGGCGGAGGAAGCCGUGGCGGCCUGGAAGCAGGCCUGGCAGAGGUUGUUGGUGGCCGGGUUCCCCGGGAAGCCGCAGCUGUUGG
rnacentral:lncRNA from 1 species